GACGAACGCUGGCGGCGUGCUUAACACAUGCAAGUCGAACGGUAAGGCCCUUCGGGGUACACGAGUGGCGAACGGGUGAGUAACACGUGGGUGAUCUGCCCUGCACUUCGGGAUAAGCCUGGGAAACUGGGUCUUAUACCGGAUAGGACCACUGCCUGCAUGGGUGGUGGUGGAAAGCUUUUGCGUUGUGGGAUGGGCUCGCGGCCUAUCAGCUUGUUGGUGGGGUGAUGGCCUAGCAAGGCGAAGUCGGGUAGCCGGCCUGCGAGGGUGACCGGCCACAAUGGGACUGAGAUACGGCCCAGACUCCAACGGGGGGCAGCAGUGGGGAAUAUUGCACAAUGGGCGCAAGCCUGAUGCAGCGACGCCGCGUGAGGGAUGACGGCCUUCGGGUUGUAAACCUCUUUCAGCACCGACGAAGCGCAAGUGACGGUAGGUGCAGAAGAAGGACCGGCCAACUACGUGCCAGCCGCCGCGGUAA
rnacentral:rRNA from 1 species